rnacentral:lncRNA from 10 species
CUCCGCCGCGGGCUCUGCCCGCUCGCCUGCUCGCCUGGUGGGGGAGAGGGGAGCGGGGCCGACACAGGACUGCAGUUGACAGCAGAUAACUGAAAGCUCGGAAAGCGAAACCGUGGAUAAGCAGGGGAACUGUGGCAUCCCAUUUAAAAUUGCUUCUGAAGAGAAGCAUGAGGUUACAUCUGUAAUCUCCCUGCAGCAGAGUCAACUGCAUAAGAAACCAAAAGACACACCUGCUCCAUGCCAGCUUCGAUAAUUUCUUUGUACCUUCGGCGAAAGAAGCCCAUCUGAAAGGCAGAAAGAAAGAGAAGCUGAGUUAGAAGUGCUGAAGAAUCAGCCAUUGUGACCCCAAGGCAGUCUGUCCCUGGGUAGGUGUGACCUGCACUCACAGGGCUGGGGAGGCUUGGAGGACCCCUCGGAUUAGAGAAAACACUGGCAAGAAAAACAUCCUGUGGAGACAUUUUUCAAAAUGCAUGGACUUCCUGCGGGUGAUAUUACGUAAGCUGUUUGUUCCUUCUAAAAUGCAUCUGGUGUAGUGUUUUCCAGACUGUGUGCUGGGGAAUACCAGUUACUGAGAGCUGUUCAAAGGUGUUUGGGAGUAAAAAAAGGUUUCAUGGCUGGGCGCAGUGGCUCACGCCUGUAAUCCCAGCACUUUGGGAGGCUGAGACAGGCAGAUCACUUGAGGUCAGGAGUUUGAGAGCAGCCUGGCCAACAUGGUGAAACCCUGUCUCUACUAAAAAUACAAAAAUUAGCUGGGCAUGGUGGUGUGUGCCUGUAAUCCCAGCUACUUGGGAGGCUGGGGCACGAGAAUCGCUUGAACCUGGGAGGCGGAGGUUGCAGUGAGCCGAGAUCGUGCCACCACUGCACUCCAGCCUGGGCGACAGAGUGAGACUCCAUCUCA